rnacentral:rRNA from 1 species
GGGUGAGUAACGCGUAUGCAACCUGCCCGUUUCAGCGGGAUAACCCGGAGAAAUCCGGCCUAAUACCGCAUGUGGCCGAGGGGAGGCAUCUUCUUUCGGCCAAAGGAGGCGACUCCGGAGACGGAUGGGCAUGCGUGACAUUAGCUUGUUGGCGGGGUAACGGCCCACCAAGGCGACGAUGUCUAGGGGUUCUGAGAGGAAGGUCCCCCACACUGGUACUGAGACACGGACCAGACUCCUACGGGAGGCAGCAGUGAGGAAUAUUGGUCAAUGGGCGAGAGCCUGAACCAGCCAAGUCGCGUGAAGGAUGACGGCCCUACGGGUUGUAAACUUCUUUUGUCAGGGAGCAAUUGGGUCCACGUGUGGGCUUAGCGAGAGUACCUGAAGAAAAAGCAUCGGCUAACUCCGUGCCAGCAGCCGCGGUAAUACGGAGGAUGCGAGCGUUAUCCGGAUUUAUUGGGUUUAAAGGGUGCGUAGGCGGAAUAUCAAGUCAGCGGUAAAAAUUCGGGGCUCAACCCCGUCGUGCCGUUGAAACUGAUGUUCUUGAGUGGGCGAGAAGUAUGCGGAAUGCGUGGUGUAGCGGUGAAAUGCAUAGAUAUCACGCAGAACUCCGAUUGCGAAGGCAGCAUACCGGCGCCCAACUGACGCUGAAGCACGAAAGCGUGGGUAUCGAACAGGAUUAGAUACCCUGGUAGUCCACGCAGUAAAC